rnacentral:rRNA from 1 species
AUCUGGGCGGCGGAAUUCAGGAUGGCUGGCGGGUUUCGCGCUCGUCCGGCCGUUUGAUAUUUCCGUCGCCGUGUCGGACGUCGCGACCUGUUCGUCGCCGGUUCCCUGCUCGGAGGAGGCGCGAUCGAGUUUCGUUGCGCGGCGCGUUUCGGCGCGUCGCGCGGCGAAGACGCGACUCUCUGGCUGGCGGCGGACAGUAAGCAACGGUGUGCGGCGCGGUGUCUCGCACUCGGCGCCGUCGCCGGUCUGCGACGAUUUCUUCGGGCCUCUUUCCGACCCGUCUUGAAACACGGACCAAGGAGUCUAACGUGCGCGCGAGUCGCGGGGUUUCGAGCGUACCACGGUGCGCUCGUCACUAGCGAAACCCGUAUCGUCGAAGGCGUAAUGAAAGUGAACAAGGGAGGAUGGCGUUCCGAGUCCACGUACCGUGAUCGAGUGUCGCGGCCGGACGUCCGCACUCCCGGGGCGUCUCGAUGGCUCGUCGCGGAUGCGGGCGGUCGUCUUUCGGGGCGGCCGCCGGUCUGCGCCGGACCGA